GACGAACGCUGGCGGCGUGCCUAAUACAUGCAAGUCGAGCGGACAGAAGGGAGCUUGCUCCCGGAUGUUAGCGGCGGACGGGUGAGUAACACGUGGGUAACCUGCCUGUAAGACUGGGAUAACUCCGGGAAACCGGAGCUAAUACCGGAUAGUUCCUUGAACCGCAUGGUUCAAGGAUGAAAGACGGUUUCGGCUGUCACUUACAGAUGGACCCGCGGCGCAUUAGCUAGUUGGUGAGGUAACGGCUCACCAAGGCGACGAUGCGUAGCCGACCUGAGAGGGUGAUCGGCCACACUGGGACUGAGACACGGCCCAGACUCCUACGGGAGGCAGCAGUAGGGAAUCUUCCGCAAUGGACGAAAGUCUGACGGAGCAACGCCGCGUGAGUGAUGAAGGUUUUCGGAUCGUAAAGCUCUGUUGUUAGGGAAGAACAAGUGCAAGAGUAACUGCUUGCACCUUGACGGUACCUAACCAGAAAGCCACGGCUAACUACGUGCCAGCAGCCGCGGUAAUACGUAGGUGGCAAGCGUUGUCCGGAAUUAUUGGGCGUAAAGGGCUCGCAGGCGGUUUCUUAAGUCUGAUGUGAAAGCCCCCGGCUCAACCGGGGAGGGUCAUUGGAAACUGGGAAACUUGAGUGCAGAAGAGGAGAGUGGAAUUCCACGUGUAGCGGUGAAAUGCGUAGAGAUGUGGAGGAACACCAGUGGCGAAGGCGACUCUCUGGUCUGUAACUGACGCUGAGGAGCGAAAGCGUGGGGAGCGAACAGGAUUAGAUACCCUGGUAGUCCACGCCGUAAACGAUGAGUGCUAAGUGUUAGGGGGUUUCCGCCCCUUAGUGCUGCAGCUAACGCAUUAAGCACUCCGCCUGGGGAGUACGGUCGCAAGACUG
rnacentral:rRNA from 2 species